GAUGAACGCUGGCGGCGUGCCUAAUACAUGCAAGUCGAGCGAACGGACGAGAAGCUUGCUUCUCUGAUGUUAGCGGCGGACGGGUGGGUAACACGUGGAUAACCUACCUAUAAGACUGGGAUAACUUCGGGAAACCGGAGCUAAUACCGGAUGAUAUUUUGAACCGCAUGGUUCAAAAGUGAAAGACGGUCUUGCUGUCACUUAUAGAUGGAUCCGCGCUGCAUUAGCUAGUUGGUAAGGUAACGGCUUACCAAGGCAACGAUGCAUAGCCGACCUGAGAGGGUGAUCGGCCACACUGGAACUGAGACACGGUCCAGACUCCUACGGGAGGCAGCAGUAGGGAAUCUUCCGCAAUGGGCGAAAGCCUGACGGAGCAACGCCGCGUGAGUGAUGAAGGUCUUCGGAUCGUAAAACUCUGUUAUUAGGGAAGAACAUAUGUGUAAGUAACUGUGCACAUCUUGACGGUACCUAAUCAGAAAGCCACGGAUAACUACGUG
rnacentral:rRNA from 1 species